rnacentral:rRNA from 1 species
CCAAUAGCGUAUAUUAAAGUUGUUGCAGUUAAAAAGCUCGUAGUUGAAUUUCGGAAUUUGUCGGUUGGUCGGGCUUCACUGUCCGCACUGACCUGAUGGAUUCCUACCUUCUGAAUAACCAGCAUGCUAUUAAGUUAGUGCGUUGGGGAAGCAGAGCUAUUACCUUGAAAAAAUUAGAGUGCUUAAAGCAGGCUUGUGCUUGAAUAGAUUAGCAUGGAAUAAUAAAAUAGGACGGCAUGGUUCUAUUUUGUUGGUUUCUAGGAUCAACGUAAGGAUUUAGAGGGAUAGUUGGGGGCAUUAGUAUUCAAUUGUCAGAGGUGAAAUUCUUGGAUUUAUUUAAGACUAACUUCUGCGAAAGCAUUUGCCAAGGAUGUUUUCAUUAAUCAAGAACGAAAGUUAGGGGAUCGAAGAAGAUCAGAUACCGUCGUAGUCUUAACCAUAAACUAUGCCGACUAGGGAGCGGACGAUGUUAAUUUUUUAAUGACUCGUUCGGCGCCUUACG